rnacentral:rRNA from 1 species
GACGAACCGUCCAAACGUUAUUCGGAAUCACUGGGCUUAAAGGGUGCGUAGGCGGCUCAGAAAGUAGGGUGUGAAAGCCCUCGGCUCAACCGAGGAAUUGCGCCCUAAACUACUGGGCUUGAGGAACGCAGAGGUAAGCGGAACUUACGGUGGAGCGGUGAAAUGCGUUGAUAUCGUAAGGAACACCAGGAGCGAAAGCGGCUUACUGGGCGUUUUCUGACGCUGAGGCACGAAAGCCAGGGAGCGAACGGG